GACGAACGCUGGCGGCGUGCUUAACACAUGCAAGUCGAACGGAAAGGCCCUGCUUUUGUGGGGUGCUCGAGUGGCGAACGGGUGAGUAACACGUGGGUAACCUGCCCUUGACUUUGGGAUAACUUCAGGAAACUUGGGCUAAUACCGGAUAGGAGCUCCUGCUGCUUGGUGGGGGUUGGAAAGUUUCGGCGGUUGGGGAUGGACUCGCGGCUUAUCAGCUUGUUGGUGGGGUAGUGGCUUACCAAGGCUUUGACGGGUAGCCGGCCUGAGAGGGGGACCGGCCAAAUUGGGACUGAGAUAAGGCCCAGACCCCUCCGGGAGGCAGAAGUGGGGAAGAUUGCACAAUGGGCGGAAGCCUGAUGCAGCCAAGCCGCGUGCGGGAAGACGGCCUUCGGGUUGUAAACCGCUUUCGCCUGUGACGAAGCGUGAGUGACGGUAAUGGGUAAAGAAGCACCGGCUAACUACGUG
rnacentral:rRNA from 1 species